AGAGUUAAACAGUACGUGAAAUUGUUGAAAGGGAAACGAUUGAAGCCAGUCGUACCGACGGGAAAUCAACUUCUCGAGUGCUUGUCGUGGGUUGCGUUGAGCUUAACGGCCUUCGUUGCUUGCGUUAUGGUGCUUUUGGGGUGUACUUUUCCGUAUGUAGGUCAACAUCGAUUUUGAUCGUCAUAAAAUGAUCGGAGGAAUGUAGCUUUGAUCUCGUAUUAAAGUGUUAUAGCCUCUGGUAGAUAUGGUGACUAGGAUUGAGGAUUGCAACGAACCCUUCGGGGCUACCUGUCUGAUCUCUGAUCGUUACUCUGGUGCCGAAAGCUUGCUUACGGUCAUCAAAGUUGGUUAUCAAAAGGUUAGAACGGGUUGAUUUCGCUAAGGAUGUUGACGUAAUGGCUUUAAACGACC
rnacentral:rRNA from 1 species